CUUGGAUUAGGAAAAUGAAAUCAACAGAGUAGAAGCCUCUAUAAGCAUCAAUGAUUCAUCUCAAUGACAGCAAACAAUUGUUUCACAUCAAAAGACUGGA
rnacentral:sRNA from 1 species